GGGUUGUGAGGUUAAGCGACUAAGCGUACACGGUGGAUGCCCUGGCAGUCAGAGGCGAUGAAGGACGUGCUAAUCUGCGAUAAGCGUCGGUAAGGUGAUAUGAACCGUUAUAACCGGCGAUUUCCGAAUGGGGAAACCCAGUGUGUUUCGACACACUAUCAUUAACUGAAUCCAUAGGUUAAUGAGGCGAACCGGGGGAACUGAAACAUCUAAGUACCCCGAGGAAAAGAAAUCAACCGAGAUUCCCCCAGUAGCGGCGAGCGAACGGGGAGCAGCCCAGAGCCUGAAUCAGUGUGUGUGUUAGUGGAAGCGUCUGGAAAGGCGCGCGAUACAGGGUGACAGCCCCGUACACAAAAAUGCACAUGCUGUGAGCUCGAUGAGUAGGGCGGGACACGUGGUAUCCUGUCUGAAUAUGGGGGGACCAUCCUCCAAGGCUAAAUACUCCUGACUGACCGAUAGUGAACCAGUACCGUGAGGGAAAGGCGAAAAGAACCCCGGCGAGGGGAGUGAAAAAGAACCUGAAACCGUGUACGUACAAGCAGUGGGAGCACGCUUAGGCGUGUGACUGCGUACCUUUUGUAUAAUGGGUCAGCGACUUAUAUUCUGUAGCAAGGUUAACCGAAUAGGGGAGCCGAAGGGAAACCGAGUCUUAACUGGGCGUUAAGUUGCAGGGUAUAGACCCGAAACCCGGUGAUCUAGCCAUGGGCAGGUUGAAGGUUGGGUAACACUAACUGGAGGACCGAACCGACUAAUGUUGAAAAAUUAGCGGAUGACUUGUGGCUGGGGGUGAAAGGCCAAUCAAACCGGGAGAUAGCUGGUUCUCCCCGAAAGCUAUUUAGGUAGCGCCUCGUGAAUUCAUCUCCGGGGGUAGAGCACUGUUUCGGCAAGGGGGUCAUCCCGACUUACCAACCCGAUGCAAACUGCGAAUACCGGAGAAUGUUAUCACGGGAGACACACGGCGGGUGCUAACGUCCGUCGUGAAGAGGGAAACAACCCAGACCGCCAGCUAAGGUCCCAAAGUCAUGGUUAAGUGGGAAACGAUGUGGGAAGGCCCAGACAGCCAGGAUGUUGGCUUAGAAGCAGCCAUCAUUUAAAGAAAGCGUAAUAGCUCACUGGUCGAGUCGGCCUGCGCGGAAGAUGUAACGGGGCUAAACCAUGCACCGAAGCUGCGGCAGCGACGCUGAUGCGUUGUUGGGUAGGGGAGCGUUCUGUAAGCCUGCGAAGGUGUGCUGUGAGGCAUGCUGGAGGUAUCAGAAGUGCGAAUGCUGACAUAAGUAACGAUAAAGCGGGUGAAAAGCCCGCUCGCCGGAAGACCAAGGGUUCCUGUCCAACGUUAAUCGGGGCAGGGUGAGUCGACCCCUAAGGCGAGGCCGAAAGGCGUAGUCGAUGGGAAACAGGUUAAUAUUCCUGUACUUGGUGUUACUGCGAAGGGGGGACGGAGAAGGCUAUGUUGGCCGGGCGACGGUUGUCCCGGUUUAAGCGUGUAGGCUGGUUUUCCAGGCAAAUCCGGAAAAUCAAGGCUGAGGCGUGAUGACGAGGCACUACGGUGCUGAAGCAACAAAUGCCCUGCUUCCAGGAAAAGCCUCUAAGCAUCAGGUAACAUCAAAUCGUACCCCAAACCGACACAGGUGGUCAGGUAGAGAAUACCAAGGCGCUUGAGAGAACUCGGGUGAAGGAACUAGGCAAAAUGGUGCCGUAACUUCGGGAGAAGGCACGCUGAUAUGUAGGUGAAGUCCCUCGCGGAUGGAGCUGAAAUCAGUCGAAGAUACCAGCUGGCUGCAACUGUUUAUUAAAAACACAGCACUGUGCAAACACGAAAGUGGACGUAUACGGUGUGACGCCUGCCCGGUGCCGGAAGGUUAAUUGAUGGGGUCAGCGCAAGCGAAGCUCUUGAUCGAAGCCCCGGUAAACGGCGGCCGUAACUAUAACGGUCCUAAGGUAGCGAAAUUCCUUGUCGGGUAAGUUCCGACCUGCACGAAUGGCGUAAUGAUGGCCAGGCUGUCUCCACCCGAGACUCAGUGAAAUUGAACUCGCUGUGAAGAUGCAGUGUACCCGCGGCAAGACGGAAAGACCCCGUGAACCUUUACUAUAGCUUGACACUGAACAUUGAGCCUUGAUGUGUAGGAUAGGUGGGAGGCUUUGAAGUGUGGACGCCAGUCUGCAUGGAGCCGACCUUGAAAUACCACCCUUUAAUGUUUGAUGUUCUAAC
rnacentral:rRNA from 1 species